rnacentral:lncRNA from 1 species
GAUAAAGAGAAGAAUGUAUUCAAAACAGAGAGAUCUUAAAUAACAGCCAUAUCAUAUUGUGGAAGAGGGCAGCUCUUGAUGGCACCAGAGAACCAACUGACCAACUCUUCCUGGUGCCUCCAUCAAGUCUCAUAGCUGAGCAGAAUAUUGGGCUGAAAACACAGCUGUCCAAUGAAUCAAGCAGCUUGAGCAUGUCUCUAGAUUCAACUUGAGACAAGCAUGAAUCA